rfam:Myotis davidii contig177543, whole genome shotgun sequence.
GAGACACCCCUAUGGAGCAGGACUUGCUUCAGUGGGGCUUUGGUGCUCACUGAGUCUGCUCCUUGAGUAUAUCACU